rnacentral:rRNA from 1 species
UGCGUAGGGGGCGAGCGUUGUCCGGAAUGAUUGGGCGUAAAGGGCGCGUAGGCGGCCCGGUAAGUCUGGAGUGAAAGUCCUGUUUUUAAGAUGGGAAUUGCUUUGGAUACUGUCGGGCUUGAGUGCAGGAGAGGUAAGUGGAAUUCCCAGUGUAGCGGUGAAAUGCGUAGAGAUUGGGAGGAACACCAGUGGCGAAGGCGACUUACUGGACUGUAACUGACGCUGAGGCGCGAAAGUGUGGGGAGCAAACAGGAUUAGAUACCCUGGUAGUCCACACUGUAAACGAUGAAUGCUAGGUGUAGGGGGUAUCGACCCCUUCUGUGCCGCAGUCAACACAAUAAGCAUUCCGCCUGGGGAGUACGGCCGCAAGGUUGAAACUCAAAGGAAUUGACGGGG